UGCCAGUGAUAAACUGGAGGAAGGUGGGGAUGACGUCAAGUCAUCAUGGCCCUUACGACCAGGGCUACACACGUGCUACAAUGGCAUAUACAAAGAGAAGCGACCUCGCGAGAGCAAGCGGACCUCAUAAAGUAUGUCGUAGUCCGGAUUGGAGUCUGCAACUCGACUCCAUGAAGUCGGAAUCGCUAGUAAUCGUAGAUCAGAAUGCUACGGUGAAUACGUUCCCGGGCCUUGUACACACCGCCCGUCACACCAUGGGAGUGGGUUGCAAAAGAAGUAGGUAGCUUAACCUUCGGGAGGGCGCUUACCACUUUGUGAUUCAUGACUGGGGUGAAGUCGUAACAAGGUAACCGUAGGGGAACC
rnacentral:rRNA from 1 species